rnacentral:rRNA from 1 species
GACGAACGCUGGCGGCGUGCCUAAUACAUGCCAGUUGAGCGCUGAAGGUUGGUACUUGUACCGACUGGAUGAGCAGCGAACGGGUGAGUAACGCGUGGGGAAUCUGCCUUUGAGCGGGGGACAACAUUUGGAAACGAAUGCUAAUACCGCAUAAAAACUUUAAACACAAGUUUUAAGUUUGAAAGAUGCAAUUGCAUCACUCAAAGAUGAUCCCGCGUUGUAUUAGCUAGUUGGUGAGGUAAAGGCUCACCAAGGCGAUGAUACAUAGCCGACCUGAGAGGGUGAGCGGCCACAUUGGGACUGAGACACGGCCCAAACUCCUACGGGAGGCAGCAGUAGGGAAUCUUCGGCAAUGGACGAAAGUCUGACCGAGCAACGCCGCGUGAGUGAAGAAGGUUUUCGGAUCGUAAAACUCUGUUGGUAGAGAAGAACGUUGGUGAGAGUGGAAAGCUCAUCAAGUGACGGUAACUACCCAGAAAGGGACGGCUAACUACGUG